CUACAAUGGCGUAAACAAAGGGAGGCGAAGGAGUAAUCCGGAGCGAACCCCAAAAAUAACGUCUCAGUUCGGACUGUGGUCUGCAACCCGACCACACGAAGCUGGAAUCGCUAGUAAUCGCGAAUCAGAAUGUCGCGGUGAAUACGUUCCCGGGUCUUGUACACACCGCCCGUCACACCAUGGGAGUCAGCAACGCCCGAAGUCAGUGACCUAACCGAAAGGGAGGAGCUGCCGAAGGCGGGGCCGGUAACUGGGGUGAAGUCGUAACAAGGUAUC
rnacentral:rRNA from 1 species